AUUCCAAUAAGUGUAUACUGCGAUAUGACGACAAUGGGCGGGGGAUGGACGGCCAUUCAGAAACGCGUAGACGGAUCCAUAAUCUUUGACAGGAACUGGGCGGAUUAUAAAAAUGGCUUUGGUUCACCAGAACAGAACGUCUGGGUUGGAAAUGACGUAAUCCAUCAAUUAACAAAAGAAAACUCAUCAUCCCUGUAUGUGUCCAUCACUCUCCAGAAUGGUACAACUCUGUAUGAAAU